AACGUACGCUGGCGGCGUGUUUAAGACAUGCAAGUCGCACGGGAUAAGACAUGUAGUAAUACUUGUUUUAUUUAGUGGCGCACGGGUGAGUAACACGUGAAUUACAUGCCCUAUAGUGGGGAAUAGCCCAGGGAAACUUGGAUUAAUACCCUAUGGUAUCGAAAGAGUAAAGGUGGCCGCAAGGCUGUCGCUAUAGGAUUGGUUCGCGCCCUAUCAGCUUGUUGGUGAGGUAACGGCUCACCAAGGCAAUGACGGUUACCUGGUCUGAGAGGACGAUCAGGCACACUGGAACUGAGACACGGUCCAGACACCUAAGGGUGGCAGCAGUCGAGAAUAAUUCACAAUGGGGGCAACCCUGAUGGUGCAACGCCGCGUGGAGGAUGACGGUCUUCGGAUUGUAAACUCCUGUCAUCUGGGAGAAAGACCUGACGGUAAAUAGCCGGCAGGGUUGAUAGUACCAGAAGAGGAAGGGACGGCUAACUUCGUGCCAGCCGCCGCUGUAA
rnacentral:rRNA from 1 species